rnacentral:tRNA from 1 species
AGGCGGUUAGCUCAGAUGGUUAGAGCGUUGCCUUGACAUGGCAAAGGUCGUAGGUUCGAUCCCUAUACCGCCUACCA